CAGCCGCCACGGGAAUACGUAGGGUGCAAGCGUUAAUCGGAAUUACUGGGCGUAAAGCGUGCGCAGGCGGUUAUAUAAGACAGAUGUGAAAUCCCCGGGCUCAACCUGGGAACUGCAUUUGUGACUGUAUAGCUAGAGUACGGCAGAGGGGGAUGGAAUUCCGCGUGUAGCAGUGAAAUGCGUAGAUAUGCGGAGGAACACCGAUGGCGAAGGCAAUCCCCUGGGCCUGUACUGACGCUCAUGCACGAAAGCGUGGGGAGCAAACAGGAUUAGAUACCCGAGUAGUCCCUGUCUCUUAUAA
rnacentral:rRNA from 1 species